CGUGCCGUGAGGUGUUGGGUUAAGUCCCGCAACGAGCGCAACCCCUGUCUUCAGUUACUAACGGGUCAAGCCGAGAACUCUGGAGAGACUGCCCAGGAGAACGGGGAGGAAGGUGGGGAUGACGUCAAGUCAGCAUGGCCUUUAUGCCUGGGGCUACACACGUGCUACAAUGGCCGGUACAAAGGGCUGCAAACCCGUAAGGGGAAGCGAAUCUCAAAAAACCGGCCUCAGUUCAGAUCGAGGUCUCCAACUCGACCUCGUGAAGGCGGAAUCGUUAGUAAUCCCGGAUCAGCACGCCGGGGUGAAUACGUUCCCGGGCCUU
rnacentral:rRNA from 1 species